rnacentral:rRNA from 1 species
CCUACGGGAGGCAGCAGUAGGGAAUAUUGCUCAUUGGGGGAAACCCUGAAGCAGCAACGCCGCGUGAGGGAAGACUGCCCUAUGGGUUGUAAACCUCUUUUGUCAGGGAGCAAUUGGCGCUACGUGUAGCGUUAUCGAGAGUACCUGAAGAAAAAGCAUCGGCUAACUCCGUGCCAGCAGCCGCGGUAAUACGGAGGAUGCGAGCGUUAUCCGGAUUUAUUGGGUUUAAAGGGUGCGUAGGCGGAAUGCCAAGUCAGCGGUAAAAUCGCGGGGCUCAACCUCGCUCCGCCGUUGAAACUGGCGUUCUUGAGUGGGCGAGAAGUAUGCGGAAUGCGUGGUGUAGCGGUGAAAUGCAUAGAUAUCACGCAGAACUCCGAUUGCGAAGGCAGCAUACCGGCGCCCAACUGACGCUGAAGCACGAAAGCGUGGGUAUCGAACAGGAUUAGAUACCCUAGUAGUC